UUGGGUUUGUCUUUCUUGUGGACUCUAAUAAAUCGUUUUUUUUUUUUUUUUCAACAUUAUUAGAUUAACAAGACCCGAUCCAUAGUCAAAUUCCUAUGACGCGAGAUAACGCGAUUUAGUAGAGUCGAAGGUGGAAUCAAAUGAACUUAACCACUGGAUUAAAGACACAUCUCCUAUUAACUAAAAUUUUAAGACAAAAGAUCAAAACGAAUAUAGAAGAACAAUCGGACCAAAUACAAAAAGAUAGUGUUUUAAUUUGUCUAUCCCACAACCUCGAAAACCAAUGCUCUUUCACAUCCAUACUAACAUGUGUUUUUGGCAUUAC
rnacentral:lncRNA from 1 species